GCAUCGGUUUUUGAUCAAAUAUUUAUAGGAUAUGGAUGGGCUCGCGUGACAUUAGCUAGUUGGAGAGGUAACGGCUCACCAAGGCUACGAUGUCUAGGGGCUCUGAGAGGAGAAUCCCCCACACUGGUACUGAGACACGGACCAGACUCCUACGGGAGGCAGCAGUAAGGAAUAUUGGUCAAUGGAGGCAACUCUGAACCAGCCAUGCCGCGUGCAGGAUGACUGCCCUAUGGGUUGUAAACUGCUUUUGUCAGGGAAUAAACCUUUCUACGUGUAGGAAGCUGAAUGUACCUGAAGAAUAAGGAUCGGCUAACUCCGUGCCAGCAGCCGCGGUAAUACGGAGGAUCCAAGCGUUAUCCGGAUUUAUUGGGUUUAAAGGGUGCGUAGGCGGUCCUAUAAGUCAGUGGUGAAAGACGGCAGCUUAACUGUCGCAGUGCCUUUGAUACUGUAGGACUUGAAUCUAUUUGAAGUGGGCGGAAUAAGACAAGUAGCGGUGAAAUGCAUAGAUAUGUCUUAGAACUCCGAUUGCGAAGGCAGCUCACUAAGUUAGUAUUGACGCUGAUGCACGAAAGCGUGGGGAUCAAACAGGAUUAGAUACCCUGGUAGUCCACGCCCUAAACGAUGAUAACUCGAUGUUUGCGAUACACAGUAAGCGUCCAAGCGAAAGCGUUAAGUUAUCCACCUGGGGAGUACGGUCGCAAGAUUGAAACUCAAAGGAAUUGACGGGGGCCCGCACAAGCGGAGGAGCAUGUGGUUUAAUUCGAUGAUACGCGAGGAACCUUACCCGGGCUUGAAAGUUAGUGAAUGAUCCAGAGACGGAUCAGUCCUUCGGGACACGAAACUAGGUGCUGCAUGGCUGUCGUCAGCUCGUGCCGUGAGGUGUUGGGUUAAGUCCCGCAACGAGCGCAACCCCUAUGUUUAGUUGCCAGCACAUUAAGGUGGGGACUCUAAACAGACUGCCAGCGUAAGCUGUGAGGAAGGUGGGGACGACGUCAAGUCAUCAUGGCCCUUACGUCCGGGGCUACACACGUGCUACAAUGGACGGUACAGCGGGCAGCUACAUAGCAAUAUGAUGCUAAUCUCUAAAAGCCGUUCACAGUUCGGAUUGAGGUCUGCAACUCGACCUCAUGAAGUUGGAUUCGCUAGUAAUCG
rnacentral:rRNA from 1 species